UCACCGAGUGAAGGGCGUGGAGAGCCCGC
rnacentral:sRNA from 1 species